rnacentral:rRNA from 1 species
UUUAAAUUGAGAGUUUGAUCCUGGCUCAGGACGAACGCUGGCGGCGUGCCUAACACAUGCAAGUCGAGCGAUGAAACUUCCUUCGGGAAGUGGAUUAGCGGCGGACGGGUGAGUAACACGUGGGUAACCUGCCUCAAAGAGGGGGAUAGCCUCCCGAAAGGGAGAUUAAUACCGCAUAACAUUAUUUUAUGGCAUCAUAGAAUAAUCAAAGGAGCAAUCCGCUUUGAGAUGGACCCGCGGCGCAUUAGCUAGUUGGUGAGGUAAGGGCUCACCAAGGCGACGAUGCGUAGCCGACCUGAGAGGGUGAUCGGCCACAUUGGAACUGAGACACGGUCCAGACUCCUACGGGAGGCAGC